rnacentral:tRNA from 1 species
UAUGCCGGCUUAGCUCAUCAGGUAGAGCAGUUGAUUUGUAAUCAUCAGGUGGCGGGUUCGAGUCCUGCAGCCGGCA